GGAAAGAUUGAGUUGCUAUAUUAGAUGCUGCAUCUGUCUUCAAUGAAGAUGUCUUUGGCACUGGAUCGGCGAAUAAUAGAACAAGCUUUCUUCAAUUUUAAAUCACAAAAGUCCAAACCAAAAUCUUGGGAAAGAUUUUUCCAUUUACCUUUUAUGUAUUCAUGGGUUUGUUUGAAUUUUCCAAAAGAAAAUGUCUAUGUUCACGAUAGAAAAUCUCUCCCGAUCUUGUGUGGUGGCCGAAGUGCCGAGAGUCACAUCCAACCCUCCAAUAUCUUCAAAGAUCUCGAAUAUAAAUAAAUGGUUCAUGUACACUUCACAAUUAUGAUCAAUAAUUCAAACGGAUCCUAUUAAGUUAUAAUAGUAUCUUAUUUUUAAAAUUAAAAAUAAAUUCCCAUAAUGGGAAUUAUUGGAUAAAAUUAAAUUUAAUAAAGCAUAAAUAUAAUGUAAUAUAAUAAUUUAGUCACUCGUGUAUCAUUCACUAUUUGAUUAAAUUUAAAUAUAUUUUUAAAAUCUAAAAUUUAAAGAGAGAAUUCACCUUUUACUCAAUCUAUUUUAGAUCUCUUAUGAUAUAAUUACUAACUUGGAACAUAACAUCUAUUUCAAUCAAGGUUAUGAAAAUUCACAAGAAGCGAAUGCUUAAGUUUCAUGAACUUGUUGAUCUUCUAGUAGUUCAAUAAAAAAUGAAGGGAUUUCAUAGAAAUAUAUUAUUUGGUAUCUUCUUACCAUGCAAAUUUAAUAUUUUCAAUAAAUUAAAGUACUAUCUCAUUGAAAGGUUCUAUGCAUGUGUCGUUUUUAAUACAUUUCUUUAUACAAAAACUCCAUGAAUUUGUUCCUCUCUUGGGACGGUAAACAUUUCUCCGAAAAUGAAGUGAUCAUAAUCAAAUUCAUGUCUAAAUUGAAAUUGAGAUAUUGAAAUAAGUUCUUUCCUAUUGAUUUAGAUAGAUUCAUAUCCCACAAUUAGGCAACACAAUAAGUAAACUUGCAUUGAUAACGCUUCCAAAACACUGAACGCAUUGUCCAUGGUUCAUGACAUACUAACUCUCUUAUCUUCGAAGUAUGAAGUUGUUGCUCUUUUCUUGUAUGGUAAGGUUUGUCCCUUAAUAAGUGUGAUUAAGUUGGUACAGCUUUUAGACACUUGCUAGAGUAUUAUGUUCCAUUUUCCUUUUCACCACACCUAGGACUUCUACUUGAUUAAUUUGUUCAUUACGUCAUCAUUGAGAGGGAUAUUGACAUGGAUCGGUUUAUCAUCGAUGUUAUGGGCACUCGUACUUUCGAUUCUUGGUGUCAGACAACCAUUCCUAAAUUAACGACCAAAAUGGCCUUAUACCCAAACAUAAUAUCAAAGUUGGCCUUUAGGCCAAAGUAAUGUUCAAAGUAGCCUUUCUUUCCACGUAAGCACAGCCAACAAUUGUUUUAUAUAUAUAUAUUUUAACUUUUUCCUUUCUUCAUCCCCGGUUAGCUUUUUCUACUGUCAUUUGUUUUUAACUUUCCCCAUUUGCUUUAUCCCGUAUCCAGAGGUCGUCUUCAAGCCCUAGUCCCACCAUUUUUUUUUUAACUUUCUCCUUCCUUCAUCCCGCGGUUGGCUUUUUCUGCUGUAAUUUUUUUUAACUUCCCUCAUUUGCUUCAUCCUGUAUCCAGAGGUCAUCUUCAAGCCCUAGCCCCACCAAUGGGCCAUAGACGUUUUUGGAGCUGCAAUUGAGAUUGGUUUUGAUUUAUGUGUGAGAAAUAUUUUUGGGUUAUAGGUGUUGUGUUUCGUUGCAUGAGAAGAAUUUUUGAGAAUUUUUUUUGGGUUACAGUUUUUUUGAGAAAUAUGCAGAAUGUUGUUGCCUUCAACUUUGCCUUUGACAGGAGUUGGUGUUUUUAUUUUUAUUUUUUAUUAUCAUUAUUAUUUUUUUAUUAUGAUUCCAGGAUAUGUGAAAACUAACAUGUGCUAUAAAAAAAAAUUCCUCUUUUGAUUCCUCAAAGUGGCAACCCGAUCUCUGUUAGAAUCCCUCUACUGCUCUCAAAAUCUGCGUGUGUCCCCUCCGAAAAAAACUCCUUUUCGUUUGAAAAGCGUGUUAUGUUAUUCACUGCAAGACAAAAAAAAUAGCUACUUCUUUAUUUAAAAGCAAUCAGGAAAGAUUGGGUGACGCCUAACCUUUGGAUCAUGAUGCGAAAAUUUGGGGGAAAAAAAGCUAUUUUAAAAAAAAAUUAAAAGCACAGUUGAUAAAUUGAAUUAUGCUGGAUGUAAAAUUUCCUUCCAACAGGGAGCUUGAUGUAAAAUAAUUGGACAAAGUAAGCCAAUAACAAAAAUCAAGAAAAUAUCAAAUAAUUGGACAAAGUAAGCCAAUGACAACAUGAAGCCAAAGAGAAACAGCUAAUGAAACAAUAUCACACUAAAAACCUUGACGUAAAAUAAUCCAACCAAAUCAGACUCAAUAAUGUGAUUCAAAAUGGUUUACAAAGAAAAUAAAUGUUGCUUUAUCAUCAGAAAUGUCAAUAAGGAGGGUAACAAAAUAAAUAAAAAAUAAGCAACUAUUGAUCUCAAGGCAUAAAUGUAUUUCCAAUUCACAGUUCAUUUAGUCGACAGAAAAUUGGCAAGAGGGCAAUUAAGCCUGAACCACCGGACUCCUUUUAUGGGGAGAAUUAGCAUCCAAUAUUGUUCGAUUUAAAUAUUUAUUUGAUUUAUUAUUGUAUUUUAUGACUCAUUGACCAUAAAGUAUUAUUUUUUACUUGAAUAAAUAUUAUUUUUAUGUAAUAACCUUUUGUUAUUAUUUAUGUGAAGACAAUUAUGACUGAUUCCACAGUAGAAAUGCUAUGUUAUUGGAAUGGAACAAUUUUGAGGACAAAAACAGAUUUGAGAUAUAUUGGAAAUAAUGUAGAGAUUGAGCCUAUAGAUGUGCCCAUUCAUACGACCUUUGUGGAGUUGUUGAAGAUGAUAUAUGAUAUCAUUGGUGUUGACAGAGACUAUCAGUUAGUCUUGAAAUGUCGACAUCCAACUGAAAUGAACAAAUUUCAACCAUUAGUGGUGAGAAAUGAUCGAACAGUUGCACGUAUGCUACUGGUGUCAUCAAAGUAUGGAAUGUCUUCAGUUCAAUUAUUCAUAGAGCAAACUCCCAACCACUAUCAUUUGAGUAAUGAAAUGGGUCAUUUGACACGAUUAUCAACAGGUGAUACUGAUGUUGAUGACGAAAAUGAGAGAGAUGAGGAAGAUGAUAGAGAUGAUGCAAUCGACACAGAUGAGAUUCAUUUACCUAAUGAUGAUGAAAAUUGUUGUCAAAGAGAAAAUAUUGAUUUGGUGAUGGUCCAACAAGUUGUGGAAUGUGAAAGCACAAGAUUUGUGAACCUUGAAGUUGAUGAUAGGUCUAAUAAUCCUGAGGUUGAAAACACAUCACUAGUUGCCUCCCCACAUGGCAUCCAAUUUAAUAUCUCUAAUGACAACCUAGAUGAAACAUUUGCACCCGUUUCAUACCAUAUGCCACCUACACCACAAUUUUUAAAUAUGGACGAGGCAAUUAAUUGUGUUGUAAGUGAUUGGACUCCAUGGAAAAAGCCAACUUUAGGAAAUGUUGAUGGGGAGUUAUCAAUUGCCCAAAUAUUUCCCUCAAAAUUAGAUUUGCAACAUGCUGUGAAGAUGUUUUCCAUAAAGACGCACCAAGAGUUUACUAUUUAUAUAUUAAAUGCAAGUGUGUUAGUUCUUCAAUGUAAAAAAGCACCAGAGUGCCAAUGGCGACUAAGGGCAAUGACAGUGAAAGAUACAGGUAUGGUUAGAAUCACAAAGUACAAAGGUCCUCAUACAUGUGUCAAUCCAUGUAUUAAUCAAGACCAUUCACAGUUGGAUUCUAGCUUUGUAUCUGAGUAUAUUGAAACAUUGGUGAAGGCAGAAAUGACCAUUACAGUUGCUGUAAUUCAAGCUGUUGUUGCGGAACAAUUUGGUUACCAAAUUUCUUAUCAAAAAGCAAUGAAGGCAAAAAAAAAAAAAGCAAUGACUCGAUUAUUUGGUGAUUGGUACAAGUCUUAUGCAAAGUUGCCUCGUUUCUUCCUUGCCUUGGAGCAGUCAAAUCCUGAAUGCAUUAUGUAUUCUAAAAUGGUUCCUAGAAACAACCCAAUUAGCAAUUCUACCCAUGUUAAGAGAUUUUGGUGAGACUGCACAGUAUAGUUGGGAGAGUGCAACACUAGCACAUCUUUAUUGAGAGUUAUGUCGAGCUAGCUUAGAUAGUGCAGAAUCUAUUGCAGGAUCAUUACAAUUGUUGCAGGUAUAACUACAAGUCUUAUUAAUUAUGUAAUUUUGUCAUAAUUAUGUGCAUUGAAACAUAAUAUUAUUUCAUUUUUAGCUAUGGUCAUGGGAGCGAUUACAUGUGGGUCGUCCUAGUAGAUCACUUCCCUAUGCACCAAUGCUUGUAGAUGACAGAUUCCCACCAGAUGCACUAGGGAGUGGGUGGAGAGUUCCCUUAUCUCAUAUAGACACUCCUCAUCAUGUGUUGGUCACAUACGGAGAUGAGUUUGAUAGACAGCAAUCUGAUCAGGUUUGGGCUAAAUAUUUGUAUUCUUUAACAAGAUUAUUAAUAUUAAUAAUAUAAUUUAAACUUUAUUAAAUACAUACUAAGAUUUGAAUAUAUCAGGUAUUAUGGUAGCCUUACACAAAUGAUAUACUAGCGUUGCUUCUAGACAUUUAUUUAGCUGAUCAGGAUAUUUGGCGGACGAUGUCACCACUUAUUUUUUUUUAUAUUGUUGAGUGGCAUCGUCCUGAGCGUGUGUUGCAAUAGUUUGGACUCAUACAGGGUGUUCCUUCGACACCCCCUAUAGAUUCUGACCUUCACUCCAUAGAUCGACAAGGUUGACCUCCAUUUGAUUGGAGGUUGUAUCACGAGCACUACGUGGCAUUAUGGGAGGCUAGGGGAGACCACAUUGUCACUGCGGAGCCUAUAGAGCCUCAUAUGGACUACCAUGCUCCGUACAUGACAUGGUAUCGUCGUAUUACAUGUCGUUUUAUUACACCUAUAGAUGAUUUUGGAUCUAUGCGGUACCAGGCUACUGCCUUAUCUACCCACUUAUUGGUUUAUAUCACUUUAAUAUUAUGUACAUAUUGUGUAUAAUAUUUAUUCCAACAAAUAAUUAUAUAUCAUUUUAUGUGACAGAUUGAGACUAUAACAUCUAUCAUAUCUUGAGGAAGUCAUGCAUUGGAGGACUCUGAUAGUGAUGCUUGUCGCACUGGUAUUGUUGAUAUUAUUCGUAUGGCCACUGAUGUUAUGUGCAUUAUUCGGGAGGAUUAUCGUCUCCCACAUGUAGAUCAUGGAGGAGGUAGGUCACCAGCUCGGUCGACAGUUGCUCGACCACCAGUUGUUCGAGGUCGAUCGACAUCUUGAAGGAGAAGUAGAUAUAGUAGUUGUCAGCCCAUCACAUCAUUAGUAUCAGCAUCAUUACAGUCCCCUACCUUUUUAUUCUCACGAUUAGUACAGUCACCCAUCUCUUCAGACGUACCAUCAGUGCAACACCCUACUUAUUCAGACCUAUCAUUAGUGCAACCCUUUACUUCUUUAAACCCACCAUCAGUACAGCUUCCUAUUUCUUUAGACUUAUUUCCAGUUCAAGCUCCUACUUUUUUAAACCCUCCAUCAGCCCAAUCCCUUACCUCUUCAAACCCACUAUCAGUACAACCCCCUACCUCUUUAGACCUACCUCCAUUACAACCUCCUACCUCUUUAGACCCAUCAUCAGUGCAGAUUAACACAUCUACUCAGAUAGAUUUACCGCCAGCCAUUCCGAGGGGUAGGCGGGGCCUACGUCGACCUAGAUUGCUACCUCCACCACCACCUCUAUUUCCAACUCCAACCCCAUCACAGACAGAUGUUCUUCAUGUGUCACAUGCAAUACCUGCUACAAUUAGAGAGGAACGUCCAAAAAGGAAAAGAGUACCAGUUACACAUAGGUUCUCUCCUUGUGGAGGCAUGUGAAAUUAUAUAUGUUUUUUAUUUUCCACUAUAUUAAUGUUUAGUGGAUAUUUUUUGUGACUUUAAUUAAACUAUUAAAAAUUACAUUUUGUAGUAGACUUUUUGUAAUUAAUUUCAUUAACUAAUUUUGUAAAAAAAAUCUAUAUAUAACAACUACAACUUAAGAGUAUACUAUUAUUUCGAUAAAGAUAAAUUUCUCAUAAUACAAAUAAAUUAAUAUCUUAAAAAACAACAAAUUAAAUAUUUUAAAUUAAUAAAUUAUACAAUUUUAUAUAUUAUUUAUAUGUUAUAUAAAUUUAUUAUUUUAAGAUUAUUAAUUUAUUAAUAAACAAAACAUUCAUUUAUAAUAUCUUCUAUUUAUUAAUUUAUGUUUGUUGAAGUAAUACUAGAUUUUUAAGUUUAAAUAUAAAUAAUUUAUUAUUAAAGUAUAUAUUUUUAAUUUUAAUAAUAAAUUUUAAUUUAAUAGUUUUUAAUUAAAUUUGAAAGUAAAAAAAAAUUAUAAUUGAAAUCUCAAUUAUCAACUGCGGCUUAAAAGUAUACUAUUAUUUCGAUAAAGAUAAAUUUAUCAUAAUGCAAAUAAAUUAAUAUCUUAAAAAACAACAAAUUAAAUAUCUUAAAUUAAUAAAUUAUACAAUUUUAUAUAUUAUUUAUAUGUUAUAUAAGUUUAUUAUUUUAAUAUUAUUAAUUUAUUAAUAAAUAAAAUAUUCAUUUAUAAUAUCUUCUAUUUAUCAAUUUAUGUUUGUUGAAGUAAUACUAGAUUUUUAAGUUUAAAUAUAAAUAAUUUAUUAUUAAAGUAUAUAUUUUUAAUUUUAAUAAUAAAUUGUAAUUUAAUAGUUUUUAAUUAAAUUUGAAAGUAAAAAAAAAUUAUAAUUGAAAUCUCAAUUAUCAAUUGCGGCUUAAAAGUAUACUAUUAUUUCGAUAAAGAUAAAUUUAUCAUAAUAUAAAUAAAUUAAUAUCUUAAAAAACAACAAAUUAAAUAUCUUAAAUUAAUAAAUUAUACAAUUUUAUAUAUUAUUUAUAUGUUAUAUAAGUUUAUUAUUUUAAGAUUAUUAAUUUAUUAAUAAAUAAAAUAUUCAUUUAUAAUAUCUUCUAUUUAUCAAUUUAUGCUUGUUGAAGUAAUACUAGAUUUUUAAAUUUAAAUAUAAAUAAUUUAUUAUUUAAGUAUAUUUUAAAUUUUCAAUUAUAAAUUGUAAUUUAAUAAUUUUUAAUUAAAUUUUAAAUUUAAAAAAAAUAACUGAAGCCGCAGUUGGCAACUACGGCUUUAGUUAAAAAAUGAAGCCGCAAUUGGUAACUACAACUUUAGUUCAAAAAUGAAGCCGCAGUUGCCAACUGCGGUUUUAGUUCAAAUAUGAAGCUGCAAUUAUCAACUGUGGCUUUAGUUCAAAAAUGAAGCUACAGUUGUCAACCGCGGUUUUCACUAAAAUGACGAAAAAAAAUAUUUUUUAAUGAUAUGGCGCCUACGUGUUAUCAAAAAGGUCAAUUUGAACAUAAGUUUCAAAAAAUGGUUAGAUGUUAUAAUUUUUUUAAAAAAUGGGCCAUUUUGACCCAAAACUCACCAUUCCUUCUAGUUAUCCUCUCCCACGUGCUUACAGACGAAGGACUCGAAGUUUAUCCCAAUCAUUUAGCAACUUGCACCUAUUACCAGGGCCUUUUGGUCCAAGCAUGCAAACCAUACAUUUGUCAACCACUGGUCUAGAUGGUGAGGGUGAGGCUUCGGAGAUAUAAGAGGUUGAGUAGGUUGAUCUUGGCCCCGGAUCAAAUUGCCCCAUCUUCGAAUAUGGACUUGUAGUACUUUCUGUAUUAGGUUGUGAGAGAGUGUUGUUCUUGGAUUUUGGGUUAUAUGUUGGUGUAGACCCCCCCGAGGAGCUGGGGAGUUUUUCUUUUUAUUAUCAUUUUUUUUUUUUUGCUGCUUUUCAGGGGACCUCUCAAGUGGGCUGCUUUCAGGCGGCUGAAGGGGACUGAUGGUGGGCUACUCUCGGGGCGACCAGAUGGGACGUGUAGCAGCAGCCGAGGAUGGCUUGCUGAGGAAGACACAAACAGAGGAAAGAAAAGGAGGGUCAGGAAAGGGAGUUGCUAGAGGAGCCCGUUCUUCUGAGGGUUGCAGCCUAAAAACUGAGGGGGGGAUUUUCAGGUUUGGUUACCAUGUUUUUCACGUAUAUUUUCAUUCUUCAUGCUUUUCUGUUAUCUUUUUUUGUUGAUGCUCAGAUGAUAUUUGUUGCUUGGGAGUGAGUACGUUCAUAUUUUGCUAAUGGGUCUUUGCUGAAGUUUAGUUUGCCCUGUUCUGAUUUCUGCAUGAGAUGUUUUGUACCUCUGUUUUACCUUUUAUUUGGUGCUCAUUUGAUUUCAUCCACCCUCGUAUGAGCUCAUUGAUCGUUAUAUGAAAUGAGGCUUGUAUGGGUUUCUUUUACUCCUACACGUUGUGCUCUGUUUUUCUUUUCCAUCUUCCCCUGUUUCGGGUAUCUGGUCAUGGAGUGCAUCAUUACUCCUAUUUCCGUCCAUGGGAGCAAAGAGUUACAGAGGAUAUAUAUUCAGUGGUGAAUAGGUUAUAUGUUGCUAGUACUGAAUCCCAUGCAGGGCAAAUAUUCUGUCAGGUUGGUGUUCUUGCUUUGACGGGUUCUCUGCAUCAUGUUGAUGAGGACCUCUUUGGGUGGGGGUUAUGUGAACGACAAGUCCAAUCUGGAGGACUAAAUGGUCUACCAGGGAAGCCUCCUGAUGACUGUUACUCAUGGUGAAGCUAUCAUGGCUAAAUGGCUUCUAAAACUUCAGCCUGUGACUACUUCUCCUUAUGUAUUAUUAUCAAACUUGUAUGCUACAGAUGGGAUGUGAGACAGUGUUGCAGAGGCAAGGCUUGAGGUAGAAAGGUUGAAGAAAGAGAAGAAGCUGUCCUUUGCAUUGUCACCAGGGCGUUUUUUUUUCUUUUACCACUUAAACGUCUUCAUUCUCUCUCGUGCGUAAUACCCACAUUUUUCCUUGACUUUUCUCCCACUCAACUAUCCUUCCAUCCUCUCUUAUGCAUGCAGCCAUGUUUUGCUCCCAAACCUAUUUAAUAUGUGGGGACCACAUGUUUUGCUCUCAAAUCUCUUAAAUAUAUGGUGGUCCCGGGUGAUUUUCUUUUCUUUGCCAUCUAACCACUCCUAAUAACAAAGCCACAACUUAUAUUUUAAUAUUAUUACUUAUGUCUCCAUAUUGUAAUAUCCAACCGAAAAUCUCAAUUCUAAAUCUAAUUUUCAAAAUCUCAAUUUUCAUUUCAUUCCCAAAAUUCAACUUCCACAUUUAUUUGUUUAAUUACCAUUAUUAUUGUAAUUAUUACUAUUGUUAUUGUUAUUGUUUUUAUUUUAUCCAUUUAUUUAUUUUUAAAUUCCAUUCUCAAAUUUUAUUUAUUUAUUUAUUUUUAAAUUCCAUCUUUUAAACAAUUUUCAUAAUUGAAGUUCCAAUUUAAAAAAAUCCCAAUAUUCGCAUUCAUUAUUUAAUUAUUAUUUUCGUUUUUAUUAUUUUUAUUUUUAUUUAUUCAUUUAUUUAUUCUUAAAAAUUUCAUCUUUAAACAAUUCUUCAAAAUUCCGAUUUUAAAUUUAAUUCCAAUUUUCGAAAUUCCAAUUUUCAUAUCAAUUUAUUUAAUCGUUAUCACCUUAUCCAUUUAUUUAUUUGUUUAAAUUUAAAACUUACAUUUUUUUUAAAUAAUCCUCCUAAUUCAAUCUUUAAAAUAAUAUUUCAAAUUUCUAAUUUCUAAAUUUAAAUUCCACUUCCCGAAAUUUUAAAUUCUCGCAUCAAUUUAUUUAAAUCAUCCUUAUUUUAUUUAUUUAUUUGAAAUUCUAUCAUCAAGCAAUUCAUCAAAAUCCCGGUUUCCAAACUCAAUUUCCUAACUUCCGGAAUUCUAAUUUCCAUACGUAUUUAUUCAACCAUUAUUUUUGUUAUUAUUAUUAUUAUUACUAUUUAUUUAUUUAUUUAAAAUUCUAUCCUCAAGCAAUUCCUCAAAAUCCCAUAACUCAAUUUCCUAAUUUCUGGAAUUCCAAUUUCCAUAUUUAUUUAUUUAAUCCUUAUUAUUUUCAUUAUUAUUAUUAUUUCAUUUGUUUAUUCUAAAAUUCAAUUUUAAACAAUUCAUUAAAAUUUCCGACUUUCAAAUUUAAUUUCUAAUUCCAAAUCACAUUAAUCUAUUUAAUUAUUAUUAUUUUGAUUAUUUAUUUCAAAACUCCAUUUUAAAUCAAAUUCUCUAAAACUUCUGAUUUUCGAAUUAAAUUCCUAGUCCCAAAAAUUCCCAUCUUCCCAUUAAUUUAUUUAAUCAUUAGUAUUUUAUUUAUUUGUUUCAAAACUCCAUUUUGAAUCAAAAUUCUUUAAAACUUCUGAUUUCCGAAUUAAAUUCCCAAUCCCAAAAAUUCCCAUAUUCCCAUUAAAUUAUUUGAUCAUUAGUAUUUCAUUUGUUUAUUUAUUUCAAAACCAAAUUCUUUAAAACCGCUGAUUUCCGAAUUAAAUUCCUAAACCCGAAAAUUCCCAUAUUCCCAUCAAUUUAUUUAAUCGUUAGUAUUUUAUUUACUUAUUUCAAAACUCUAUUUUAAAUCAAAUUCUCUAAAACUUCUGAUUUCCGAAUUAAAUUCCUAAUCCCGAAAAUUCUCAUAUUCUCAUUAAUUUAUUUAAUCAUUAGUAUUUUAUCUCCAUUUAAAUCAAUUCUUUAAAACUUCAGAUUUACGAAUUAAAUUCCUAAUCCUAAAAAUUCCCAUAUUCACAUUAAAUUAAUCACUAAUAGUUUGUUUAUUUAUCUUAAAAUUCUACCUUAAACAAUUCUUUAAAAUUUCUGACUUCUAAAUCUAAUUUCCAAAUUCAAAAAUUCCAGCAUUCUCAUUCAUUUAUUUAAUCAUUAUUUUCGUCCUUAUUAUUAUUAUUCCAUUUAUUUAUUUCAAAAUCCCAUUUUUUNNNNNNNNNNNNNNNNNNNNNNNNNNNNNNNNNNNNNNNNNNNNNNNNNNNNNNNNNNNNNNNNNNNNNNNNNNNNNNNNNNNNNNNNNNNNNNNNNNNNAAAAUUCCAGCAUCUCAUCAUUUAUUUAAUCAUUAUUUCGUCAUAUUAUAUAUCCAUUUAUUUAUUUCAAAAUCCCAUUUUUUAAACAUUUUUUUUUAAUCCCAAUUUCUGAACUUAAUUUCCGAUUUCUAAAAUUCUAAUUUCUUUCAAGUUUGACAUCCUAAAAUUCCAACUCUUAAAUUUAAUUCUCAAUACUCCAAUUUUCAAAUAAAUUUCAAAAAUUCAAUUUCUCUCUAACAGUUUUAAUUCUCUUCGGGUUUCAAAUAAUCUUCGAUUUCUCUUGAUUUUAUAUAAGCAUGAAUGCUAUUUUCAUAAUUCCAGAAUAAUGGAAUCUGUGAGACUAAUUCAUGCAAAAUAUAAUGGGCUUUGGUGGGGGCCCCACAUAUGAGAUUUCAUGAUUGAUUGACUGAUUGAUUGAUUUAAUUGCCAUGCAUGAGAUUAUUCUUUAAUUGUGUAUUAACCCUCCUCUCUUGAUAGCGCAUGAUGGUUCGUUGCCCAGGUAUGCACUCAUUCCCAAUCUGGUUAGUCUAUAUGCAUUUUACUGACUCUCAUAUGUGCAUGAUAGUUUCGGGUAUUCAUUGAUCUCUUAAUUAAUUGCCAUGAUUGCUUCAUUUUAUUAGUAGAGACCCAUUUAGGGACUUAGAGGGGUGCUACGGUUCAUACCGUACCUUCCUGAUAAGUAACCUGACCCCCGGACCCGAUCCGGUUUUUCACAGACCACCUUUUCCAAAAUAAGGAGUUACACUUAGGGUUUUUCUUUCUUAUUUUGUUUACCCUUUAAAAAUAAAACAAAAAUAAGUGGCGACUCCAAGUCAUUUUUCUUAAUCAAUAAAAAUCAAAUUUUCAAACAAAAAUCGAGCUCGCCAUCGAGUGGGAAACGCAUGAGCCGAAAUGCGGGGUCCACAGUUGGAUUACACUACAGAUCUUCUGGAUGUAUUUUGUAUUACCGUGGGAUAUUACUAUUCUAAAUUUCUACACCAGAUACAUUACUUGGACUGCAUUUUUUUUUUUCUGUCAUGAUCCUGCAUGUGAUUUCUCAUUUCUACUUUGUCAUUUAUGUGAUCGAUAAGAAAGGGAACUAGUAAUGAUGUUCUCUUCUUGUAAUAUUUGUAAUAUAAAUUAUAUAUUAUUAAAAUUAAAAUUAAUUAUAAAAAAAUUAUAUAUUAUUUAAAAAUCAAGAUUUGAUUUGAAAAUCAAUUAGAAAAUUAAUUUCAAAUCACAAAUUUAGAUUAAAAUAAAAAAUUUAAUUUAAAAUUUAUUUUUAAAUCAUAAACUUAUUUUAAAAUUGAAAAAUUAUUUAAAAUGUAAGUGAUACAAUAUUUUCAAAAAGUUAUUUAAAAUCAUGAUUUCAUUAAUUUAAACUUAAAUGAAAAAAAAAAUCUCAAACUGGGAUAGCUAUAGCUAUUGCGCGGCAGCUAUAGCUAUUGCGCGGCAGCGGCAACGCCAACAGCCGGGGAAGGGGGAGGAAAAGCGGGUGGGAGGGAGAAGAGGAAAAAAGGGGGAGGGUGGGGGCAGGAUCUAGAAGGGGGAAAAGAUGUAGGGGCGAGAUCCGGGAGGAGGAAGAAGAAGGGGGAAGGGUAGUUGGUUAGCAGAUUUUGUUGACUUUUUUGGGCACAUGAGAACAAGGGUAGUUGGUUAGCAGAUUUUGUUGACUUUUUUGGGCACAUGAGAACAGGGUAGUUGGACUUAUCUUUCUAUGCAUAGGUCAAUAAUCAGGUCAUCCUAUAGGUCCAAGAGGUCAUCUUAUUUUAUGGUUCUAGUUUUGGGAUGAGGUGAUUUUAUGCAUAUCCAGAUACCUCAUUGGAGAGGUGGUGUAUUAAUUAAAGAUAUGUUGAUUUUUUGUACCUCCACUUGUUGAUAAUGACAUGGUGUGGGGGAAGUUUUAACUUUUUUGGUCAACAAUGACAUGGCCAAGAAGGAUGUUGCUAAUUAAGCAUGGUUAUUCCAAGGAUUAAGAAUACAUAUACCUUUAAACGUGGCCUUAUGGUUGGACGGACACUUCAUGAAAUCAAAGCUGAGUGACUAUGAAUUACCAAUGGAAAGAUUGCACACAUGUGUCCACCUUUUAUAAUAUGUCUGUCUUACAUUAAUUGUUAUUAGGCUGCGUCCUAAUAGUUUAAAGGGGCUCCAUGAACGUGGCCACAUCACAACUUGUACUAGUAGCCUACUAAAGUCAUGUCCAUAUGAAAUCCUAUAUUGGCGACCAAAAAUAGUCUGUGUUUACACACUUACAUGGGUACAAGUAUGACUUGUUAUAUCUCAACAAGAUUUUUAAGUUGUGCGAAAAAAAGUGGUCGGGGCUAUAACUUAGAACUUAUAACUGCACAAUUAUAUUUGACCACAGGUAUAACAUUUAUCAAUGUCCCCCGUGGUUGUGUGCACCCAUAUUCUAUAGGCACACUUUGGUUUACCUUUUAGCCAUGGGUGUUGGUGCGGUUAAAGAUCUACCUUCUUGUAAUGAAGUUAUCACAUCAAUGAAGCAAACAUAUUAAUUGAAGUAUUAACAUUAUUAGAACAUUAAUUCUUAAUCAUCGGAUAAUUAUAAUGGUCACAGAUGGACCUAUGGAACUAGCUAGGUCAAGCACUUAAUAGAACUUGAGAAGAGAAUACCUUAUAUUAUAUCAUGAUGCAUUCUUUCGUAGAUGCAAAUAUCUUUUCAAUGAAAGAUGUCCACACAUACAAAUGUGGGACAGAGACAAGACUUUUGAAUUUUUUUUACUAUUGUUGUUUUCCUGGUGGAUCGGUUCCAUUAUACUAAUGUUUUGUUCAACAUCUAAUGUUUACUUUAACUUUAAUUUAUUAUCUUAUUUAUUUUAUUUUAAUUUUUUCUCACUUAUCAAUUAUCAUGAAACCAUUUUAUUAAUUCAACAUUUUUUUUUAUAAAUAUAAAGAUAAACUAACUAUUUUUAAAAUAGGACUAUUCAUAAUAAAAAGUGAAAUUUAGUAUAGAAAUAUAAAAAUUUAUAUUAGCUAAUGUAUGAUGAUAUUAUGACAAGUACAUAUAUAUGUUAGAACUUGUAUGUUCUAAACUAUAAAAAAUUAGACAAAAUUGUGAAAAAAAAAAAAAUUCUUUUAUAUAAGAAAAUUAUAUCGAGAAGAAAUGGAAAUUUGCAAAAAGUAUAUAUAUAUUUGAUAGAUAAAUUUUUGUCUAUAUUUUAAACAUAGCUGAAAUUGAUUUCAACUAAGAUUUUAGUUCACACAUUAAAACCUAUGUAGAUACCGAUGGUUUUUGGGUUCGUUGAACAUUGGCACUAAAUCAAGAAUGCUACCCACCUACCCACCUAUCUAUUCUCACUGUUAUUUUUUCCUAAAAACACUAACAGGGACUUCUGCGUUGAUCAGCUUUACUUCAAAUCUCCCUACUUGAUACGGAAGCUGAUUAGAGUGGAUUCCUAGCACCUCCACCAUGGAAAAUCCAGAAAAACUUCACAUAGUCAUGUUCCCAUGGCUAGCUUUCGGUCACAUACUCCCAUACUUACAGCUGUCCAAGCUCAUAGCUCAAAAGGGUCACCGCAUCUCCUUCAUAUCCACCCCCAGAAACAUCGACCGCCUCCCAAAACUACCUCCAAUUUUACAACCUCUUAUCAACUUAAUCAAGCUUCCACUGCCCAAAGUCGACAACCUCCCUGAAAACGCUGAAGCUACCACUGAUCUUCCCUACGAAAAGACUCCCUACCUCAAGAAGGCAUUCGACGGCCUCCAAGAACCCUUGACCCACUUCCUCAUAAAUUCACAUCCCGACUGGGUAGUUCACGACUUCGCCCCUCACUGGUUGCCGCCUGUCCUGGAUGAGCAUGGGGUUUCACGGUCCUUCUUCUCCAUUUACGGUGCAUCGACCUUAUGUUUCGCCGGAUCCACGUCCAUCAUGCUGGGUAGCGGUGAUCCACGUAAGGAGCUCCAUCAGUUCGCGGUUCCUCCUCCGUGGGUCCCUUUUCCCUCCAACUUGGGUUUGCCUCCGUUCCAGAUGAAGCGAAUCUUAGGCUAUGACCAACCCAACCUUUCUGGAGUUUCAGACUCAUAUCGAAUGGGUUCGGUCAUUUCAGCUUGUGACGUGGUCGCUGUACGAAGCUGUGCAGAGCUUGAAUCUGAAUGGCUGGACCUUCUCAGAGAGCUUUACCACAAACCAGUACUUCCAAUAGGGCUACUGCCUCCUUUGGCGCCUGUUAGCGGAGAGGACGACUCGUGGAUUCCAAUCCUUGAGUGGCUAGAUAAACAAGAGAAAGCGUCUGUGGUUUACGUGGCACUCGGAAGCGAGGCGACGCCAAGGGAAGAUGAACUCACUGAGUUGGCUCUCUUGGGUUAGAGCUAUCAGGGUUGCCCUUCUUUUGGGCAUUGAGGAAGCGGCACGACUCAGUUGAGUUACCAGAUGGUUUCGAGGAUCGAACCAAAGAUCGUGGAGUGGUUUGGAGGACGUGGGCGCCUCAACUCCGGAUAUUGGGUCACGAAUCAGUUGGGGGCUUUGUGACUCACUGUGGUUUGAGUUCCGUUAGAGGGACUGUAUUUUGGACGUGCCCUUAUCAUGUUUCCGCUGUGGGGAGACCAGGGGAUCAUUGCUAAGGCUUUCCAAGAAAUGAAAGUGGGGAUAGAGAUCCCAAGAGAUGAAGAGGAGGGUUGGUUUUCUAGCAAGUCGGUGGCCCAGACAUUGAGCUUGGUGAUGGUGGAAGAGGAAGGAAGGAUUUACAGGGAGAAAGCUAAGGAGUUGAGCAAGCUUUUUGGAGAUAAGGAUCUACAGCAACGUUAUAUAAAUGAUUUUGUUGAAUAUCUCCAAAACCACAGGCGUAAUCGGAAAGAUUGAGUUGCUAUAUUAGAUGCUGCAUCUGUCUUCAAUGAAGGUGUCUUUGGCACUGGAUCGGCGAAUAAUAGAACAAGCUUUCUUCAAUUUUAAAUCACAAAAGUCCAAACCAAAAUCUUGGGAAAGAGUUUUCCAUUUACCUUUUAUGUAUUCAUGGGUUUGUUUGAAUUUUCCAAAAGAAAAUGUCUAUGUUCACGAUAGAAAAUCUCUCCCGAUCUUUUCAUGGGUUUGUUUGAAUUUUCCAAAAGAAAGUGUCUAUGUUCACGAUAGAAAAUCUCUCCC
rnacentral:lncRNA from 1 species